rnacentral:rRNA from 1 species
UACGGAGGGAGCUAGCGUUGUUCGGAAUUACUGGGCGUAAAGCGCACGUAGGCGGCUUUGUAAGUUAGAGGUGAAAGCCUGGGGCUCAACCCCAGAAUUGCCUUUAAGACUGCAUCGCUUGAAUCCAGGAGAGGUGAGUGGAAUUCCGAGUGCAGAGGUGAAAUUCGUAGAUAUUCGGAAGAACACCAGUGGCGAAGGCGGCUCACUGGACUGGUAUUGACGCUGAGGUGCGAAAGCGUGGGGAGCAAACAGG